AAGUGAUGUCGCUGUCGAAUCUCGAUGGGUGCCCGUGGCGGCGGCAGCCGGUGCCACUGCCGACGCGCGCGGUGGACUCCUCGGAGGAGUCGAGCUCUACGUCAUCGUCCGACCCAGAGUCGGUGGUGGACGAGCCCAUCUUCCGCAUGACCCUCACAGGUUUGAGGCCCUCGGUGAAGAUCCUGAUGGCCUCCUCCGUCGUCUUGGUGCUCAGCAGGUUCAGAGAAUGUUUUCAGUGGAGUUGAUUGACCCAGCAGUGAAAGGAACACUGAAUGUUCUGGCCUCCUACAAGAAAGCUUCUUAGUUGACCUUGCUACUGAAUCCGAUACAGGAUACGCCCGUACGAAGAUGAUGCGUGGAAUGCUGAUGUUGCCCCUUUGGCUACCUCGAUGUUGCCCAGAGUGGAUAGGAGGAAGAUAGUUCAUCGUCAUGACCGAGUCCACACGUGUCUUUGGUAGAGUCAGGAAAAAAUAUUUGCUCAGUGAAAUUUACUUCGGAUGAUUAUGUGUUUUCUAGUGUGCUUUGCCGUGAACAAAGAUUAUGUGUUUUUU